CCCACCAAGGUGCUCAACAUCAGCACCAGGAAGUCCCCCCUGUGGCGCAAGAAGCCCGUGAACUCGUCCGUGUGGGACUCCUGGGGUGCGAUGGUGUUGGCGGUGGUAUACGGCCUUGUCUACAACUGUGCUAGACAGUUUCUACGAGAUGCAAGCAUGAUUGUGCUUGUCGCCCAGGGCCAGGACGCCGACGUAUGGUGUGCACCAGGAAGUGAACUCGUGCGGCUCGAGGACAGAUUGUUGUGAUGAUCUAUCUGGGUAGUCUAGAAAAAUCCCAAUUUUGAGUGAAGAGUGGAUCCUCUUUGCUGCAAUCUUCAAUACUAGUUUCGAGGUUGCCUAACCAUGGUUCGAGGCUGAAGAAGCAAAUAGAUGAUCUGGAUGAGAAGAUGGCGGUGACUGACUCUUCUCCCGA